rnacentral:rRNA from 1 species
UACGUAGGGUGCAAGCGUUGUCCGGAAUUGUUGGGCGUAAAGAGCGUGUAGGCGGUCCGGUAAGUCCGCUGUGAAAGUCGGGGGCUCAACCCUCGAAUGCCGGUGGAUACUGUCGGGCUAGAGUGCGGAAGAGGCGAGUGGAAUUCCUGGUGUAGCGGUGAAAUGCGCAGAUAUCAGGAGGAACACCGAUUGCGAAGGCAGCUCGCUGGGACGUAACUGACGCUGAGACGCGAAAGCGUGGGGAGCAAACAGG